rnacentral:rRNA from 1 species
GACGAACGCUGGCGGCGUGCUUAACACAUGCAAGUCGAACGGUGACCUGGGGAGCUUGCUCCCUGGUGAUCAGUGGCGAACGGGUGAGUAACACGUGAGUAACCUGCCCCAGACUCUGGGAUAACUUCGGGAAACCGGAGCUAAUACCGGAUCUGACGCGGAGACGCAUGUCUACCGUGUGGACAGGUUUUCGGUCUGGGAUGGGCUCGCGGCCUAUCAGCUAGGUGGUGAGGUGAUGGCUCACCAAGGCGACGACGGGUAGCCGGCCUGAGAGGGCGACCGGCCACACUGGGACUGAGACACGGCCCAGACUCCUACGGGAGGCAGCAGUGGGGAAUAUUGCACAAUGGGCGAAAGCCUGAUGCAGCGACGCCGCGUGAGGGAUGACGGCCUUUGGGUUGUAAACCUCUUUCAGCAGGGAAGAAGCGCAAGUGACGGUACCUGCAGAAGAAGCACCGGCUAACUACGUGCCAGCCGCCGCGGUAA